CGGGGCCAAGCUGCCAAGCUGACACUUAGCGAGCAAGUACGGACCUCUCCUCGCAGGCUCCGGUGGGAAAGGCUCCUGGAAGGGCGCGAGCCAGGAAAGUAGAUGAAGUGAAGAGAUGAAGACUGCGUGGGGUAGUUGUUGGAAAAGCUCGGAUCAUCCCCAACCCAGCCCCGUCUUGUCCGGCCCCAAAAGGCCCAUCUCGGCCGAGCUACUCACACUUUGUAC
rnacentral:lncRNA from 1 species